AUUGAACGCUGGCGGCAGGCCUAACACAUGCAAGUCGAACGAGUGGCGGACGGGUGAGUAAUGUCUGGGAAACUGCCUGAUGGAGGGGGAUAACUACUGGAAACGGUAGCUAAUACCGCAUACCAUCGGAUGUGCCCAGAUGGGAUUAGCUAGUAGGUGGGGUAAAGGCUCACCUAGGCGACGAUCCCUAGCUGGUCUGAGAGGAUGACCCGCCAAAACGGAAAUGAGACAAGGUCCAGACUCCUACGGGAGGCAGGAGUGGGGAAUAUUGCACAAUGGGCGCAAGGCUGAUGGCGCCAUGGCGGGUGUAUGAAGAAGGCCUUCGGGUUGUAAAGGACUUUCAGCGGGGAGGCGUUACCCGCAGAAGAAGCACCGGCUAACUCCGUGCCAGCAGCCGCGGUAAUUC
rnacentral:rRNA from 1 species